rnacentral:rRNA from 1 species
UAUUCCUACGGGGCGCAGCAGUGGGGGAUAUUGCACAAUGGGGGGAACCCUGAUGCAGCGACGCCGCGUGGGUGAAGGAGCGUUUCGGCGCGUAAAGCCCUGUCAGCGGGGAAGAAGAAAGACGGUACCCGACCAAGAAGCCCCGGCUAACUACGUGCCAGCAGCCGCGGCAAUACGUAGGGGGCGAGCGUUAUCCGGAAUUACUGGGUGUAAAGGGAGCGUAGACGGCGAGGUAAGCCUGAAGUGGAAGCCCGCGGCCCAACCGCGGAACUGCUUUG